AUUGAACGCUGGCGGCAGGCCUCACUCAUUCCAGUCGAUCGGAGCGGCGGACGGGUGAGUAAUGCCUAUGAAUCUGCCUGGUAGUGGUGGAUAACGUCCGGAACCGGGCGCUAAUACCGCAUACUCUCAGAUGAGCCUAGGUCGGAUUAGCUCGUGGGUGGGGUAAAGGCCUACCAAGGCGACGAUCCGUAACUGGUCUGGGAGGAUGAUCAGUCACAGUGGAACGGAGACACGGUCCAGACUCCUCCGGGAGGCAGCAGUGGGGAAUAUUGGACAAUGGGCGAAAGCCUGAUCCAGCCAUGCCGCGUGUGUGAAGAAGGUCUUCGGAUUGUAAAGCACUUUCAGCGGGGAGGCGUUACCCGCAGAAGAAGCACCGGCUAACUCCGUGCAAGCAGCCGCGGUAAUAC
rnacentral:rRNA from 1 species